rnacentral:rRNA from 1 species
AAUGAACGCUGGCGGUAGGCCUAACACAUGCAAGUCGAACGGCAGCACAGGAGAGCUUGCUCUCUGGGUGGCGAGUGGCGGACGGGUGAGGAAUACAUCGGAAUCUACUUUUUCGUGGGGGAUAACGUAGGGAAACUUACGCUAAUACCGCAUACGACCUACGGGUGAAAGCAGGGGAUCUUCGGACCUUGCGCGAUUGAAUGAGCCGAUGUCGGAUUAGCUAGUUGGCGGGGUAAAGGCCCACCAAGGCGACGAUCCGUAGCUGGUCUGAGAGGAUGAUCAGCCACAAUGGAACUGAGACACGGUCCAGACUCCUACGGGAGGCAGUAGUGGGGAAUAUUGGACAAUGGGCGCAAGCCUGAUCCAGCCAUACCGCGUGGGUGAAGAAGGCCUUCGGGUUGUAAAGCCCUUUUGUUGGGAAAGAAAUCCAGCUGGUUAAUACCCGGUUGGGAUGACGGUACCCAAAGAAUAAGCACCGGCUAACUUCGUGCCAGCAGCCGCCGUAA